GACGGGGACCCGCACAAGCAGCGGAGCAUGUGGUUUAAUUCGAAGCAACGCGAAGAACCUUACCAGGUCUUGACAUCCAUCUAAAGCGAUAGAGAUAUCGUGUGAGCUUGCUCGAGAUGAGACAGGUGGUGCAUGGUUGUCGUCAGCUCGUGUCGUGAGAUGUUGGGUUAAGUCCCGCAACGAGCGCAACCCUUAUCGUCCGUUACUAACAGGUAAAGCUGAGGACUCAGACGAGACUGCCGGGGACAACUCGGAGGAAGGUGGGGACGACGUCAAAUCAUCAUGCCCCUUACGACCUGGGCUACACACGUGCUACAAUGGGUACAACAAAGAGAAGCAAAACCGCAAGGCGGAGCAAAACUCAAAAAGUACUCUCAGUUCGGAUUGUGGGCUGCAACCCGCCCACAUGAAGUUGGAGUUGCUAGUAAUCGCGGAUCAGCAUGCCGCGGUGAAUACGUUCCCGGGUCUUGUACACACCGCCCGUCACACCAUGGGAGUUGGGAGCGCCCGAAGCCAGUGAGCUAACCGUAAGGAGGCAGCUGUCGAAGGUGAGACCAAUGACUGGGGUGAAGUCGUAACAAGGUAGGCCGUAUCGGAA
rnacentral:rRNA from 1 species